AGGACGAACGCUGGCGGCGCGCCUAACACAUGCAAGUCGAACGAGUUAAACUAGCCGAAGUUUCGGAUGGAAGCGAAUUAGCUUAGUGGCGAACGGGUGAGUAACACGUGAGUAACCUGCCCUUCGAUGGGGGACAACAGUUGGAAACGACUGCCUAAUACCGCAUAAGACCACAGUGCCACAUGGCACAGUGAUCAAAGGAUUAAUUUUCGCUGAAGGAUGGGACUCGCGUCUGAUUAGCUAGAUGGUGAGGUAACGGCCCACCAUGGCAACGAUCAGUAGCCGGACUGAGAGGUUGAUCGGCCACAUUGGGACUGAGACACGGCCCAGACUCCUACGGGAGGCAGCAGUGGGGGAUAUUGCACAAUGGAGGAAACUCUGAUGCAGCGACGCCGCGUGAGGGAAGAAGGUUUUCGGAUUGUAAACCUCUGUCUUCGGGGACGAAACAAAUGACGGUACUCGAGGAGGAAGCCACGGCUAACUACGUGCCAGCCGCCGC
rnacentral:rRNA from 1 species